rnacentral:lncRNA from 1 species
GUUGGGGAGGCAUGCAGAAGAGCUUAGAUGAUAUGGGAAAUGGUCCUAAGAAAUUUAGAUGAUAUUUUCCCCAGGAAAUCUCCCAAGAAAACCCACUUUCUUCUCACCCGACCUACUUAUGGGGUAGGCUUAUUUUGAGACAAGCAAAGGAAAGAUGCCAAAAUGAAUCCUCACUUAGCUAAUAUCUUCCUGUUGGUCACCAGUGGAAUCCAAAUGGAAAAGGUAUAAGGUACAAAUGAGAUACCAUGAAAACUGCCCCAAGUUGGCCAUGUUUAUGAUGGCUUCAGGUUGGAACACAGCUACAUCUCAAUCUCAUGUUCUUUUAUCCCUACUGAUAUGAUUAUCAUGGAUGAGGUAUGGGUCUGUUAGCUUCUAGAAAGCCACAGCAGGUCCCUUUUAUAGGAACAAAAGAGGCUGCUUGCUUCAGGUGACUCUCAGUGUGGUUCUUAGCAAUCAAAGACCAGCCAGAUGUCACCUACUCCAUGGAACCAGUAGAUUCAGUGCUGUGGACUCUAAAACGUGAGCUCACUCUUCUACAUUCUUGAAAUAUCUGUGACUAUGGCCAGCACUACUUUACUAUCAAGUAAACAGAUCCAAAGGGAGAAUUCAUUUGCCCAUACAAGCAAACUUGUCCUGGCUUUCUGACCACAGAGACAAAAUUCUUCCAUCAUUGUAUCUGAGAUUUUCCCACAUGAUUACUCUUAGCAACAGAGACAAGAGCAAAACUAAUGACUCAGUAGAUAUUGGUAAAGCCCAGUGCAGACAAUGAUAAGCUUCAAAUUUCUCUAGAGCCUCGUGGUUUACAUUCAUGAUAUAUUCGGAUUCCAUUUUCUAAUUUAUUCUUAGUAGUUUAAAUAUGACUGUAUAAAUUCAUUUUUAAAUCUGUCCUUUAUCUCAUGUAUCUUUCUGAUCAAUCUUAGGGAAUAUCUCUGACCAAGGCAUAGUGCCUGACCAUGUUCCUUCCUCCUGAGGUUAAUUCUAAACUCACAUUCACACCAACUUACAUUCCCCUUGGAGCAUCUGUUGCUGUGGAGGUAUCCUGACUGUACUGCUCCUGAGGUUCAGCAAAGGUCUCGUCUUCUUAUGGAGGGUUCUGCAAGAUGCCCACUAACAGACUAGAAUAAUGAGAACUUACCUGCAUGGCAUGGUAAAGGUUGAGCCCACAAAACCCUAAAAACAAAGGGGAAGCCAGAUGCAGAUUUACUCAGAGGAUCCUUGAAUGCUGAACGAUGUCUGUUGUCUCUGUAGAGUUCCAUGGCUUCUGAUGUGGGAAAAUCUUAGGACACACUUCAUGAAUUUUAAAUACCCUUCCCUUCACAUAGCUCAAUACAAUCCCUGGAUCCUAUAGCAUUCAGCAUUCAAGACAGAUACCACUAGGAAGUACAAACUACUAUGGCAUGGUACGCCAUGGUAAGUAGGAUAAGAACUUGCUCAUUGGUUUGAACUCCAACUGCACCAUUUCUGGAAUAUAAAAUAUCAGGCUGAACAAGGCAUGGAAAAGGAAACAUACACACAUCUUUGGCCAGGUUUAAAGGGGUUAAUCUGGAAGGCUAGGACAGGAAAACAAGAAUUCAAUUGAAACCCAGCAUCUACUCAGAAACAAGGAUGCUUAUAGACUGUUGAGCUCAGUGAUAAAUUCCAUGGGGAAAAAAUAAAGAAGGCCAACCCUCCUUAACCUGUAGCUGGCCACCCCUGCUAUCAUAGCAGGUCAUCAGCACCAAGCUAAAGCAAGCUCAGUACUGUAAACGGUAGGUCUAGAUCCAAAGCUGAACAUGAACAGGAUGCUAAUCUUAUGCUACAAGGUCAAUGAGCCAAGAUCCCUAAGAAGGAGUUGACAACCCAAAGUAAAAGUCAAGUGAAAAGAUAAAACAGAAAUUGCAAUGUCCUCUAUAAGCCUUGAUUUGCCUUUCUUUCCAAUUGACCAAUCAAAGUGAGGCCCUCUGUAGUAUCUCACUAGUUCUUACUCAGAGACAAUAAAACAGAAGAGUAGAGUAAAUUCGGCCAUAGACAAAUGAGACUUAACCUGGUUUGCAUACGGUUGUGUACAGGUUUCUUAUGUGAGGUUGUCCCUAGAGACCUAUC